rnacentral:misc_RNA from 1 species
AAACCUCCUCAAGCUCUUUUGCUUGGUAUUGGAAGAAGAGGCCGCUUGUCGGUCUCCCUUUCGAAAUGCAAUGGCAGAUUGCCUCAUGUGCCCUGGCGUAAUAAGAUUUAUCUUUCGCUUGUGCAUUGAGACGAUCCCGCCGCAAACCCCCAAUUUUUUCU